rnacentral:tmRNA from 1 species
UCGCUUGUAAGCAUGCCAUAAAGAUACUACCUUAGCUCCGUCAGGUUCUCCUGACUAUGGUGAUAAACGGUAGAUGGAAUAGGUGUAGUGGACCCGGGGGCAGUACCCGGCGUCUCCACCAGAUGCUGCCUUGCUAGAGGUGGUUUUUAUGGGGACGAAACAGGCUCGACACGCAUAGUAAAGAUCUACUUUUUGCUCGGCAUGGUACCACCGUUAUCGGACUAAAACACUAUAAGUGCCAAUGAUAACUCUGAGGUGCUCGCUGUUGCUGCGUAAGUAGCGAUAAGCGCGGUUCGGGGGAGCACCGGGCAACAGAAGCCCCCCACC